AACGAACGCUGGUGGCAUGCCUAACACAUGCAAGUCGAACGAGACCUUCGGGUCUAGUGGCGCACGGGUGCGUAACGCGUGGGAACCUGCCUUUAGGUUCGGAAUAACUCAGAGAAAUUUGAGCUAAUACCGGAUGAUGUCUUCGGACCAAAGAUUUAUCGCCUUUAGAUGGGCCCGCGUUGGAUUAGCUAGUUGGUGGGGUAAAGGCCUACCAAGGCGACGAUCCAUAGCUGGUCUGAGAGGAUGAUCAGCCACACUGGGACUGAGACACGGCCCAGACUCCUACGGGAGGCAGCAGUGGGGAAUAUUGGACAAUGGGCGAAAGCCUGAUCCAGCAAUGCCGCGUGAGUGAUGAAGGCCUUAGGGUUGUAAAGCUCUUUUACCCGAGAUGAUAAUGACAGUAUCGGGAGAAUAAGCUCCGGCUAACUCCGUG
rnacentral:rRNA from 1 species